rnacentral:lncRNA from 1 species
CUCCAGCCUGGGCGACAGAGCAAGACUCCAUCUCAAAAAAAACCAACAACAACAACAACAACAACAACAACAAAAAGACCACUAGCUAGACUAAUAAAGAAGAAAAGAGAGAAGAUCCAAAUAAACACAAUUAGAAAUGAUAAAGGAAAUGUUACUACUGACCUCACAGAUAAAAAAACAACCACCAGAGACUACUAUGACCACAUCUACACAUACAGACUAGAAAACCUAAAACAGAUGAAUAAAUUCCUGGACACAUACACCCUCCCAAGACUGAGCAAGGAAGAAAUUGAUUCCCUGAACAGACCAAUAAUGAGCUCCGAAAUUCAAUCAGUAAUAAAUAGCCUACCAACCAAAAAAGGCCAGGACCUGAAGGACUCACAGCUGAAUUCUAUUAGAUGUGCAAAGAAGAGCUGGUACCAUUCCUACAGAAACUAUUCUAAAAAAUUGAGCAGAAAGGACUCCUUCCCAACUCAUUCUAUGAGGCUAGCAUCAUCUUAAUGGUAAACUUUCAAUGACUCUCCACCACCAAGAGGAUGAAUUUCUAUCUCCUUAGAAUGGCAUAUAAAGCCAUUUGUGAUUUGGCCCUGGCUUCCCUCUCCACUCCAGCAGCUGUACUUAAGUACUUGUAGGUCCCUUAGGGAGCCAUAAUUUGUGGCAUUUUUACAUGUUACUUCCUUGGCAUAUAUAUUUUAUUUUAUUUUUGUCAGGCCCACACCACUUAGAUGUUGCUGACUCUAGUAAAGCUUCCCUUACUCCCCAGGUGCUGGGCUAAGUACCCCUAUUCUGGGAACCCUUCUGCUUACCAUAUCACAGCACUUCCGUGACUUCAUAAUCGUCUGUUUACUUGCCAUUUCCUCUAUUAAAUUCUGAGCUCCCUGAUGGGAGUAUUCAUGGUUAGAGUCUCAGUCUCUAUUACGGGCCCUAGUACACUUCAGGAACUCAAAAGCUUUGCUGAUAUAAUGCAAGGUGAUAAAAAAGUAGAAAGACUUGGGAUAAUCUUGAUUUCUGAAGGCAUCAAACGGGAAUUAGAGAAAGCAGCAGGAAAAACGAAGGCCUUUUUAAGUUCCAUGAGAACUACGGUUUGCAAGACUGGUCAAAACAGUACAAUGCAAGCGGCAAGAAUCAGGAAGUGCACAGAAACAAGAAGCUCGGUGCACACUGGGAUCAGGCAAGCAUCUGGGAGAAGACUGUAGCAAGACUGGAUCCUGAGCAGUUCCCAUGUGAUCCAUCAGGCUCUGAACAUGAAUUUUAAUGGGCUCAGAACCACUUCUCUACCCUGAGGUCACAGGCUGUCAGAGUGAAUCUUCCACAAACUGAUUGGAACCUGAAGAAUUUGCUCUGUCAAGAGAGUGCUGCUCUGGCCAAGUCACCUCGCUGAAAUCUCCACUUCCACUUGUGCAACCUACCAAGCCACUCUCUACACAGCUGCCAGAGUGAUUACAAAAACAACGCGGGAUUAUGCUACCCCUGCUUAUCUAAAAUUUGUCAAAAUGCCCGUUACACUUUGAAUAAAAUACAGAUUCCUCUCAGAUCUCAUUUCUUAUCAUGUCUUUCUCAAUCAUUAUGUUCCAGCCUCACUGACCUUCUUUCUGUUCCUGUAAAAUAUUCCUGCCUCAAGGGCGCAGGCCUACGACCUGCAGUUCUCUUUUUCCCACAUGUGACCAGGCUCUCUCUUAGCCAUCAGGUCUCAAAUAAGCUCUUUCCGUUCUGUCUAGGCAUCUUAUCAAAAUCAACCUGUGUAUUAUUAUUCAUUUAUCACAUAAUCUUGUUUUAUUUUCCUCAUAGCACUCUCACUUUCUGAAAUUAUCUUUGUUUAUAUGUUUAAUGCCCUUCUUUUCCACUAGAAUGGAAACUCAAAGAUCAAGAAACUUAUCUGGCCUUUUCACUGUUGAAUUGCCAAAAUUUUGAACAGUGCCUAACAUACAGUAAAGGCUCAAUAAAUAAAUAAAUAAAUGUUCAGCUCUCUUGGCUGUCUCUGCAGUGAUCAAGAAUAUUUUGAUGUCUCUCAAAAGAACUAUAUGCUUAUAGUAGCCU